UACGUAGGGACCAAGCGUUGUUCGGAUUUACUGGGCGUAAAGGGCGCGUAGGCGGCAUGACAAGUCACUUGUGAAAUCUCCGGGCUUAACUCGGAACGGUCAAGUGAUACUGUCGCGCUAGAGUGCGGAAGGGGCAAUCAGAAUUCUUGGUGUAGCGGUGAAAUGCGUAGAUAUCAAGAGGAAUACCUGAGGUGAAGACGGGUUGCUAGGCCGACACUGACGCUGAGUGCGCGAAAGCCAGGGGAGCAAACGGG
rnacentral:rRNA from 1 species